GACGAACGCUGGCGGCGUGCCUAACACAUGCAAGUCGAGCGAAUGAAGUUCCUUCGGGAAUGGAUUUAGCGGCGGACGGGUGAGUAACACGUGGGCAACCUGCCUCAUAGAGGGGAAUAGCCUCCCGAAAGGGAGAUUAAUACCGCAUAAGAUUGUAGUACCGCAUGAUACAGCAAUUAAAGGAGCAAUCCGCUAUGAGAUGGGCCCCGCGGCGCAUUAGCUAGUUGGUGAGGUAAUGGCUCACCAAGGCGACGAUGCGUAGCCGACCUGAGAGGGUGAUCGGCCACAUUGGGACUGAGACACGGCCCAGACUCCUACGGGAGGCAGCAGUGGGGAAUUUUGGACAAUGGGCGCAAGCCUGAUCCAGCCAUUCCGCGUGAGUGAAGAAGGCCUGG
rnacentral:rRNA from 1 species